rnacentral:rRNA from 1 species
AUACGGAGGAUGCGAGCGUUAUCCGGAUUUAUUGGGUUUAAAGGGAGCGUAGGUGGGAUAUUAAGUCAGCUGUGAAAGUUUGGGGCUCAACCUUAAAAUUGCAGUUGAUACUGGUUUCCUUGAGUACGGUACAGGUGGGCGGAAUUCGUGGUGUAGCGGUGAAAUGCUUAGAUAUCACGAAGAACUCCGAUCGCGAAGGCAGCUCACCGGGCCGGAACUGACACUGAUGCUCGAAAGUGCGGGUAUCAAACAGGAUUAGAUACCCUGGUAGUCCGCACAGUAAACGAUGAAUACUCGCCGUUUGCGAUACACUGUAAGCGGCCAAGCGAAAGCGUUAAGUAUUCCACCUGGGGAGUACGCCGGCAACGGUGAAACUCAAAGGAAUUGACGGGG